rnacentral:rRNA from 1 species
GUGAGUAACGCGUGAGGAACCUGCCUUCCAUAGGGGGACAACAGUUGGAAACGACUGCUAAUACCGCAUGACACAUUUGAAUCGCAUGGUUUGAAUGUCAGAGAUUUAUCGCUGGAAGAUGGCCUCGCGUCUGAUUAGCUAGUAGGCGGGGUAACGGCCCACCUAGGCGACGAUCAGUAGCCGGACUGAGAGGUUGACCGGCCACAUUGGGACUGAGAUACGGCCCAGACUCCUACGGGAGGCAGCAGUGGGGAAUAUUGGGCAAUGGGCGCAAGCCUGACCCAGCAACGCCGCGUGAAGGAAGAAGGCUUUCGGGUUGUAAACUUCUUUUAAGAGGGAAGAGCAGAAGACGGUACCUCUUGAAUAAGCCACGGCUAACUACGUGCCAGCAGCCGCGGUAAUACGUAGGUGGCAAGCGUUGUCCGGAUUUACCGGGUGUAAAGGGCGUGCAGCCGGGAAGACAAGUCAGAUGUGAAAUCCCGCGGCUCAACCGCGGAACUGCAUUUGAAACUGUUUUUCUUGAGUACCGGAGAGGUCAUCGGAAUUCCUUGUGUAGCGGUGAAAUGCGUAGAUAUAAGGAAGAACACCAGUGGCGAAGGCGGAUGACUGGACGGCAACUGACGGUGAGGCGCGAAAGCGUGGGGAGCAAACAGGAUUAAAUACCCUGGUAGUCCACGCUGUAAACGAUGGAUACUAGGUGUGCGGGGGCUG